rnacentral:lncRNA from 1 species
UCAAUAAGUAAGCUGUUGAAGUCUGGGGGUAGAUCAUAGACGUAUAUAAGAGGCCUCUUCUUCUUCACAACAGCACUUAGAUUAAUGAGGUUUCCAGGGACAUCUUUACCACUUGGAACUUCGAGAUGUGCUGGUCUAAGCCAUUGUGGCCACUCUCCAAACGACGAUAGAGUGGAUGGAAUACUACAAUCUGUUCCAAACCAGCCUUUAUCACACUGAAACACACACACAAAGUUAGGAAGAUUUAAGGUUAAGAAUAUGCAAAGUUUAUGACAGUGGCUAGUAUAUAUUACCUGGCAGAAACCUCCUCUGCAUUUGCCAUGUCCAGAGCACUGAUUAACACAGGUGCAUUGUACAGGCACUUCGCAGAACCGUCCCCAAAGACAAUCAUACUUACAGUCACAUUCCUCUUUGAUUUUCACUUUCAUAGCAUAUGCAUCUUCCGGAUCCACAUUGCACCAUCCUUGUUUGCUACUGUUUGUUGUUAAAAUGUCCAAGUCUGGUUUAGACCAAUCCGUCAUUUUAGGUUCUCCAGGAUUCACAGGCGCGCUAAAAACAUUUGUGUUAAAUGUUAGAUAGUCUUCAAAGCUUGAUGACUCAAGAAGAAAAAGAAGCAGGUGAAAGAAACUUACUUGAUUUGGAAUUCUAAAUUCUUUGUAAAAACAGAGUUCCAACACCUUCUCCACAGAAGCACAUGGCUCUUGUGGUAUCACAAUGUCUAGAACAUAUUGAAACAACCCAUCGACCAUAUGGCAUCUCAGGUGUUUUCUCAUAGUUGCAUUCUAACUGCUGCUUUUGUGAACAGUCUUCACCUACACAGAACCGGUCAAAAGCAACUUCAUUUUAAACACGGGUUGACGAUCUAUUUCCCCACGAGAAAUAUUGUAUAGCAGUGCUAACCAGUAAAUCCAUGGAAGCAACGGCAAAUCCCAAACUCAUGGUUACAAACACCUUGACCACUACACUCAUUCAGACACUUCCUCCCACCAAUUGGCUACCAAAAAAAAAAAAAACACAAACUUUACAACAAAACUGUUUCAAGUAUAUGCCAAAACAUUAAUAAUACUUACUUCAAUAAUGUCAACUUCUUUAGCAACUGCAUCACAGCUAGAAAGCCACUGACCGAUCUCACUUUUCCACGAGGCAUUUCUAUACACUACAGCACCGUGUAAGUCAGCAGGAAACCGACGAUCAAUGUCAACAACAACAGCAACCGGUUCACUUGAGUUCUUAGUCACUUGAGUGAUUGAUUCAUUAACCGGUCCGCAAAGACUCUGAGCUUGUCUUACAUUAACGGAAUCAAAAGAAGGCACCACAGGUCCAAGAAAGAGAUGAACAAGUGAGACUAAAACGAUGACAGAAGCAACAGUGGCUAUCUGAGACCAUGUACACUUCCAUUUCUGGUUAGAAAACAUGAUCUACAACCCAAAGUUCUGAACUUUUUCAAACUUGACCACCUGAAUCACAAACAAUUCAUGAUUAAUUUAAUUAUAACCAAUUCCUCACGACACAUAAAUUCAGGACGGUAUAUAAUUAAACAAAAUGGGUAUUACAUAAAACGUCAAAGAGACAGAGCAUAAAAGAAGGGAAAGGUAGCCCAGAAGGUUAGGCAAUGACACUAUAAUCACAAGUCAGCGCCUUUAUUACGAAACAUAAAUUAAAUAAAUAAAAAGGCAGUAAGCUUUGACCCAAUAACCAUUGCAAACAUCGAAAUGCAGAGAACCUUAAUGGCUCACAGAGAAGAAUAUAAAACACAGAAACGGACAAAACACAAGAGAAUCAUGGAGAUUUUAAAACAAGACAGAACAUUGUUGUAAGAAGAAGGAACGAGAGAGAAGAGACAAAACUCACCAGCUCAUGGGUUUUCAAACUAGACUCCACAAUGGAGGGAGGGUGUUGGAGGAUUUAUAUCAUGAAUAAUUACAGAGGGAUUUGAAUAAUUAUUGAUCAAUUGUAAUUACAAUAAUAAUGAUUCCUUGGAGAUUGGUAAUUAUUAGAGAGAGAGACGGCCACGGGGAUCUCUGGUUGGCUUGGCCUGAAGCUAAGAAAGAAAACGAAAUUUGUUAUGGAAGUGGUCGUCGUCGUGUGCGUCAUGUUCUUCCCUCUUCUUUGAUUGAUUAAACUUAUUAUUUUCAUCGCCUUUCCCCGUAAUGAUUUUCCUUAAACCGAUUCGAACCGGUUUAAACCAAGUCAAGUCAAACACAAUUGAUUAUGGAAUUGGUCAUCAUGUUCUUCCCUCUUCUUUGAUUAAUAAACUAAUUUAUUUUCCCAAAUUCACCGCCUUUUCCCGUAAUGAUUCGAACCGGUUUAAACCAAGUCAAGUCAAACAUAAUUUGAUUUGAUUAUGGAAAUGGUCGUGGUGUGUGUCAUGUAAUGCUUUGGUUAAACUAAUUACUUUUUCUAAUUCACGACCCUUUCCCUGUAUUUUUCCUUUAAACGAUUCGUACCGGUUUUACAUACAAAAGGAAACCAAGUCGAACAAAAUUGAUUAUGGAAAUGGUCGUCGUGUACGUCAUGUUAUUUCCCUCUUCUUUGGUUGAAAUAAGUACUUUUCCUAAUUCACCGACUUUUUCGUGUAAUAAUUUUCUUUAAAACCGAUUCGAGCCGGUUUUUAUAAUAAGAACAAAAUUAAUUAUGGAAGUGGUCGUGUCGUGUGCGUAAUGUUUCAUCUCCUCUGUAUAAAUUAAUUACUUUUUUCCUAACCGGCUUCUUUAGUAGUAGUAUUUUUCUUGGUGAAUUUCAUCAAUUUUAAACCUUAAACAAAACCAAGUCAAAUCCUAAUCACAAGUAACGGUGAUUAAUUAAAGAAAAAAUUACACUCUAAAGCAGUUUACAAGUUUCUAAUAACACUUUGGGUCACUUUCAGCUACUCGGGCAGUUUCUUCUAACAAACUCUCUUUUCUCCACUUAUUUCUAACUAAUUUAGUCCGUCCGUAACUACUAGUCAGAAAGAUCCAACAAGUAGAAGGGCGGGAACCGCUCACCACCGCACAUCUCCCUCACCAUCUGACGGCCCAUAAUGUUACUGUCAUAUAGGGCUGGGCAAAUAAACCGAACCCGAAAAUCCGAAUCGAACCCGAUCCGAUAAAAAUGAAUCCGAACCGAUCUGAACCCGACAUAAAUACCGAAUGGAUCCUGUUUUUUGGUAUAUUGGGUUAUGGGUAUUAUCCGAACCGAACCCGGACUUAAAUGGAUAUCCGAUAGAACCCGAAAUAUUUAUAAUAACAAAAAGAACUUUUACCAAAUAUGAUUUUAAUUCUUAAUAUGUAUCCAAAAUACUUUAAGAUAUUAUUGAACUUCUAAAAUAAUUAUCUAAUACAUGAAGGUUGAUGGUGGAAUGUAGCGGUUGAAGCCUAAAGUUUUUUUUAUUUUGGUUUUGUUUUUAUUGAAUAGUGUUUCUCAUUUCAUGAGAACUUAGUUUUUGUUUUAUGAUUUCAUUUAUCUGGUUUUCUUUCUAUCACUAACUAUGUUUAUCUUUCGCUUGAUUUUGAAUGAUCACGUUUAAUGUUUUUUUCUUAUUUUUGAAUCGAUUUUACUUAUGUUUUGGCUAUUAAAAUAUGUACAAAUCAUGUAUUUUAAAUCCGAAGAACCGAUUUCAUUUAUGUUUUAGUUACAAAAUAGGUACAAAUCAUGUAUUGUUAAACCGAAGAACCGAUUGGGACCCGAACCCGAAAAUACAAUGGGUUAUACCGGUUCUUUGAAGAUUUACUAACCCCGACCCGAACCCGAUAUAACCCGAACCGGUCCCGAACCGAACUUUUAUAUAACCCGAAUGGGGUUGAUUUUGAUAAACCCGAAAAACCNNNNNNNNNNNNNNNNNNNNNNNNNNNNNNNNNNNNNNNNNNNNNNNNNNNNNNNNNNNNNNNNNNNNNNNNNNNNNNNNNNNNNNNNNNNNNNNNNNNNNNNNNNNNNNNNNNNNNNNNNNNNNNNNNNNNNNNNNNNNNNNNNNNNNNNNNNNNNNNNNNNNNNNNNNNNNNNNNNNNNNNNNNNNNNNNNNNNNNNNNNNNNNNNNNNNNNNNNNNNNNNNNNNNNNNNNNNNNNNNNNNNNNNNNNNNNNNNNNNNNAAGAUCCCCUUGAUCCACACCAACUCGUUUGUCAGCUUCAACAUGGCUCUAUACUCAGCUUCAGCACUUGAACAGGAGAUAACCUUCUGCUUCUUACUCUUCCAAGUGACCAAGUUCCCUCCAAUGAAUGUACAAUACCCAGUAGUUGAUCUCCUGUCCACUCUAUCUCCUGCCCAAUCAGCAUCACAAUAUCCAACCACUUCUGUACUGCCAUUACAACCCAUCCAAACUCCUUGACCAGACGUGCCACUCAAAUACCUCAGUAUCCUAUCAACCAUCUUCCAAUGAUGGACCUUUGGCGCCUGCAUAUGUUGACUCACUUGAUUCACCGCAAAGCAUAUAUCUGGCCUAGUGAUGGUCAAGUAGAUCAGCUUGCCAACCAUCUUCCUGUAUAGCUUAGGAUCCUCAAACAGCUGCUUCUCUUCAACCUCCCCCUCACGCAGAACCUUAUAUCCCUCCUCGAGGGGUGUCUUAGCUAUCUUUCCUCCAAGCACAUCAGUCUCCUUCAACAUAUCCAUAGUAUACUUCCUUAGAGACAUAAACAAACUAUGAGAAUUAAGAGUACUCAGGUUGUAUGUGUGUGUGAAACCCAAAUGGGUAAAGAGAGAGUGCUUGGAAGAGAUUUGAGAGAAAGUAAGUUUAAUGAGUGUUUGUGUGUCUAAGUGUUUUAAGAGAUUAGUAACAAGACUGAGAACGUGUGUAGAGAUUCAGGAUGAGAGACUAGAGAGACUAAGAGAAGUGUUUCAGAUUAGAGAAGGAGAGGGGAAACCCCCUUACUCACUUAAGAGUUACAAAACAUCACUUAUGAGCUUAUAUAUGCUCUUUACAACUUGCAAUCAUAAACCUAAAUCUAAGGGCUGUUAUAACUUGAAUUUAAAUGAAUGGAUGAGAUGGAGAGAUGGUCUUGGUCGUGGCUGUGCUGUUCCUGAUGGAUAAUUGGUCCAUUUGAAUCUGGUCAAGGGAAGGCUGGCUCCUUAUUGGCUAGCUAAAGGCUCCCAUGAAUCUGCCCACUUCUUUUGCUAGAUACAUGGUCUCCUUUUGCUUUUACUUUACAGCAAGGGACUCUCCUUUCCAGCCUGUCACUUGCCAGCCUCUCCUUUGUCUUCUUCUCUUAAGAGUUUCACCAGCCUCUCCUUUGUCUUCUUCUCUUAAGAGUUUUGUCUUCUUCUCUUAAGAGUUUUGUGUUCUCUUACUGUGGUAACUCUCCAAAGUUACUGUGGUAACUCUCCAAAGUUACUGUGGUAACGUUGGAGUUACUGUCUCAACCAAAUAUUCUCCAAAUGGUGUCUAAGUCCCUCCUGGACUUAAACCCAAUCUUGCACAGCCAUAAGAUCACUUCUUGACUUCUUAAGACCCUCCUGAAGCUUGACAGACAAUCUCUGUAAGACUUGCCCUCUCUUUGCACUAGAACCAAACUACUCCAUACUUCUCCUUUCACUCCAUUUCUAUUCUUCAAGUUAACAUUCUAGAGCUUGCCCUAUCAUUGUACAAGCUCCAUCUUCUCUUCAGUUCAACACUCCCCCUCAAGCUUGACUUUAGGAGAUCCUAAGCCAAGCUUGGAACUCUGAAGAGUCUCCCUCAUUAAAAACCUUACAAGGAAAACCCAUUGGGACAAAACCUUGCAAGGGAAAAAGAGUAGAGCUCUCCAAAGCCUAGGGAUUGGCCAGUGAGCUCUUGUGCCUUAGAACCAGUGUGGUUGGAACUAACCAAACCCUUGGCCUAUGUUGAAUUAUCUAAUAUUUGAGUCAAGUUUAGUAGGAAACCUGGGAACCAUAUAGAUAAUCUGUCCACACUGUUGCAUUCCUGUCAUCAUAGAUCCUAUUAACACAUUCAAGCUUAAAAUGCCGACCCUGCAACAUCAAAUCCCCCAACCAGAUGAGAUUAAAAUGUUUUAUCAUAGAAAGGUUUUUAAAGUUUGUUUAGAAGAAGUAUACAAAGUUUGGAUUGUGACCUCAAUAAGUAAGCUGUUGAAGUCUGGAGGUAGAUCAUAGACGUAUAUAAGAGGCCUCUUCUUCUUCACAACAGCACUUAGAUUAAUGAGGUUUCCAGGGACAUCUUUAUCACUUGGAACUUCGAGAUGUGCUGGUCUAAGCCAUUGUGGCCACUCUCCAAACGAGGAUAGAGUGGAUGGAAUACUACAAUCUGUUCCAAACCAGCCUUUAUC